rnacentral:sRNA from 1 species
AACCUUAAACCUUAAACCCUAAACAUAAAUCCUACACCCUAAA